UGAUUAGGUAGUUGUUGAGGUAAUGGCCCAACAAGCCGAUGAUCAGUAGGGGCUCUUAGCGGAGUCGCCCCGAGAGGGAAUCUGAGACACUAUUCCCAGCUCUACGGAGUGCAGCAGUCGCGAAUCUUUUGCAAUACACGUAAGUGUGACAAAGCGAGCCAAGGUGUUUUCCGCACGGGAAAACUUUUGCCAGCUGUAAAAAGGCUGGCGAAUAAGGACUGGGCAAGACUGGUGCCAGCCGCCGCGGUAAUCCCAGCAGUCCAAGUUGCAGCCAGCUUUAUUGGGUCUAAAACAUCCGUAGCUUGUUUAACAAGUCUCUUGUAAAAUCUGACAUCUUAAAUGUCAGGCUGCAGGAGAUACUGUUAGGCUUGAGACCGGUAGAUGUAAGGAGUACACUUAAGGUAGUGGUAAAUACGUUAAUCUUAGGUGGACUAACAAUCGAGCGAAGGCACCUUACAAGGACGGAUCUGACAGUGAGGGAUGAAGGCUAGGGGCGCAAAACGGAUUAGAUACCCGUGUAGUCCUAGCAGUAAACACUGCUCACUAAACAUCGGGCUCUCUUCGGGAGAAUUCGGUGCUGUAGCGAAGGCGAAGAGUGAGCUACCUGGGAAGUAUAGUCGCAAGAUCGAAACUUAAAGGAAUUGGCGGGGGAGCAC
rnacentral:rRNA from 1 species